rnacentral:snoRNA from 1 species
GUGGGCCCUAAAUCCAAUGACUAGGGUCUUUAUAAAAGAGGAUACAAUGUUUUUCACUAACACCAUGAGGGUCUCUGGCCCAAUGAGUGGAGUUCGUUCGAUAGUAAUUCUUGAAAAAGAA